rnacentral:rRNA from 1 species
GAUGAACGCUGGCGGCGUGCCUAAUACAUGCAAGUCGAGCGAACAGACGAGGAGCUUGCUCCUCUGACGUUAGCGGCGGACGGGUGAGUAACACGUGGAUAACCUACCUAUAAGACUGGGAUAACUUCGGGAAACCGGAGCUAAUACCGGAUAAUAUAUUGAACCGCAUGGUUCAAUAGUGAAAGACGGUUUUGCUGUCACUUAUAGAUGGAUCCGCGCCGCAUUAGCUAGUUGGUAAGGUAACGGCUUACCAAGGCAACGAUGCGUAGCCGACCUGAGAGGGUGAUCGCCCACACUGGAACUGAGACACGGUCCAGACUCCUACGGGAGGCAGCAGUAGGGAAUCUUCCGCAAUGGGCGAAAGCCUGACGGAGCAACGCCGCGUGAAUGAUGAAGGUCUUCGGAUCGUAAAACUCUGUUAUUAGGGAAGAACAAAUGUGUAAGUAACUAUGCACGUCUUGACGGUACCUAAUCAGAAAGCCACGGCUAACUACGUG